UACGGGGGGGGGUAAGCGUUGUUCGGAAUUACUGGGCGUAAAGGGCUCGUAGGCGGCCAACUAAGUCAUACGUGAAAUCCCUCAGCUUAACUGGGGAACUGCGUGUGAUACUGGAUGGCUUGGAUUUGGGGGAGGGAUGCGGAAUUCCAGGUGGUAGCGGUGAAAUGCGUAGAUAUCUGGAGGAACACCGGUGGCGAAGGCGGCAUCCUGGACCAAUAUUGACGCUGAGGAGCGAAAGCUAGGGGAGCAAACGGGAUUAGAAACCCCUGG
rnacentral:rRNA from 1 species